rnacentral:rRNA from 1 species
GAACGAACGCUGGCGGCAUGCCUAACACAUGCAAGUCGAACGAAGCCUUCGGGCUUAGUGGCGCACGGGUGCGUAACGCGUGGGAAUCUGCCCUUGGGUUCGGAAUAACAGUUAGAAAUGACUGCUAAUACCGAAUGAUGUCUUCGGACCAAAGAUUUAUCGCCCAAGGAUGAGCCCGCGUCGGAUUAGCUAGUUGGUGAGGUAAAAGGCUCACCAAGGCGACGAUCCGUAGCUGGUCUGAGAGGAUGAUCAGCCACACUGGGACUGAGACACGGCCCAGACUCCUACGGGAGGCAGCAGUGGGGAAUAUUGGACAAUGGGCGAAAGCCUGAUCCAGCAAUGCCGCGUGAGUGAUGAAGGCCUUAGGGUUGUAAAGCUCUUUUACCCGGGAUGAUAAUGACAGUACCGGGAGAAUAAGCCCCGGCUAACUUCGUG